CUAUGAUUCUUUUCCAUGAAUGAAUUAAUAGCAUUUUCAGGGAACUAGAUGAAACUGAAGACUACUAUUUUAAGUGAAGUAACUCAGGAAUG